GCCCACCAAGGCGACGAUUGGUAGCCGGACUGAGAGGUUGAACGGCCACAUUGGGACUGAGACACGGCCCAGACUCCUACGGGAGGCAGCAGCGGGGGAUAUUGCACAAUGGGGGAAACCCUGAUGCAGCGACGCCGCGUGGAGGAAGAAGGUUUUCGGAUUGUAAACUCCUGUCGUUAGGGACGAUAAUGACGGUACCUAACAAGAAAGCACCGGCUAACUACGUGCCAGCAGCCGCGGUAAU
rnacentral:rRNA from 1 species